UAUAGUCAAAAACUCCUUUAUAAUGCUC
rnacentral:sRNA from 1 species